GGUUUAACUUUUUGUUUAUGUGUCUUUAUAUUUUUAUAUUUUUUAUAUUUCCGGAUAAAUAUAUUUUUUUUUUUUUUUUAUUUACAAAAAGUGAAAUUUAUGAAGUGGUAUUUUAUGCAAUUAUGGGUAUGUACACGUACAUAUACAUACACACACCAAAAAAAAAACAAAAAAAAAAAUAAAAAAAGAAAAAUAUAAUUUUCAAAGGAGGGUUAUAUAUUAAAUGUAUUUGAAUAGAUCAUCUAUUUUUUUUUUUUUUUUUUUUAUGAAGUAUCCUUAAAAUAUAUAUAUUUGUAAUUUCUUACAAUAUAUGCAAAGUCUAUUUUGAGGAAGACCAUAAAAAAAAAAAAAUAUAAAAAAUAAGAAGGAAUGAACGUUAGUAUAUAAACAAAUAAAUACAUAUAAUACUAUAUAAUAAUAAUUUACUGUGUAUAUAUAUAUAUCUUUUGUUUUCUUUCAUUAUAUAUAUAUAUAUAUAUAUAUAUAUAUAUAUAUAUAUAUUUAUAUAUUUAUAAUUUUUUUUUUCCUAAAAUGUAAUUAGUGUUUUAUAUCUAUAUAUUAUAAAAAAAAUUUCUAUGUUUAUAUAUAUUUGCUAAUUUUUUUUUUUUUUUAUAUAUUUUUUUUUUUUAUUUUAUAUCUAUCCUUUUAAUAAAUGAAGUUGAUAUAUUAAUUCAUCGAUUACAUUGAAAGUAGUAUAACUUAAAACUUAAAAGAAAAAAAAAAAAGACCAAAGCAAAAGAAAAAUUAUGAAUAAAACAUUGUUUUCAUUUUAAUAUAAAUAAAUAUAAAUAUAUAUAUAUAUUAUAUAUAUGUUGUAUAAUAAUAUAAAAUUGAUAUUU